GACGAACGCUGGCGGUGUGCCUAACACAUGCAAGUCAACUUGACUGAAGGAGCAAUCUGACAGUAGAGUGGCGCAAGGGUGCGUAACGCGUAAGUAACUUGCCCAAGGUAAGGAAUAACGUCGAGAAAUCGGCGCUAAUACCUCAUAAUGCAGCGGAUCCGCAUGGAUAUGUUGUUAAAGGUUUACCGCCUUGGGAUAGGCUUGCGUCUGAUUAGUUAGUUGGUGUGGUAACGGCACACCAAGGCCACGAUCAGUAACUGGUCUGAGAGGAUGAUCAGUCACACUGGAACUGAGACACGGUCCAGACUCCUACGGGAGGCAGCAGUGAGGAAUAUUGGGCAAUGCUCGAAAGAGUGACCCAGCAACGCCGCGUGGAGGAUGAAGGUAUUCUAUAUCGUAAACUCCUGUGAGAGCAGACGAAAGACAGAUUAUUAAUCUGGAUGACUGUAUGCUCAGAGG
rnacentral:rRNA from 1 species